rnacentral:rRNA from 1 species
AUGCUGGCGGAUAUUCCUAGAGAGACUGCCAUUCCACAUUCUGAAGAAAUACCUAGAGACGAGAUACACCAUCGUGAUCCACCAGUAGAGAGACUGCCAUUCCACAUUGAAAACGAGCAACAAGUUAUUUUUCCGGACUCGACUGACAUUGAAAAAAUAGUAAGAAUGCCAGGAUCCACAAGUACUAAGUUCACUGAGUGGAUGGAGGCAAACAAAAUACAUGAGGUGGGAAAAGAAUUAACCUAUGCAGAAUUCCCAUCAAAAUUUGUAUGGAAAAGUGACUCCAAAACUUGGGAGAAGCGGAAAAGGGGCUUUGCGAAUGGAAGAAUUUACUAUGCACACCCUACAAGUGGUGACUGGUAUUAUAUGAGAAUGCUUCUAAACACCAAGAAAGGAUGCACAUCAUUUGAGGAUAUUAGAACAAUUAAUGGAGUAGUUCACCCAACAUACAAAUCAGCAUGCCAAGCGCUUGGAUUUCUUGAUGACGAUAGUGAGUGGAUUGAAGGCAUCAAUGAAGCAUCAAGUUGGGGGUCAGGGAUACGAUUACAGCAGCUAUUCACCACAAUAUUAUGCCAUUGUGAGGUGACCAGCCCAAAAAUGUUGUGGGAUUCAACAUGGGAGGCACUAUCUGAAGAUAUCCAGUACAAAAGAAGAAUAAUCCUAAACUUUCCUAUGCUGCAGCUAACUGAUUCAUAG